GAUGAACGCUGGCGGCGUGCCUAAUACAUGCAAGUCGAGCGAACAGACGAGGAGCUUGCUCCUCUGACGUUAGCGGCGGACGGGUGAGUAACACGUGGAUAACCUACUUAUCAGACUGGGAUAACUUCGGGACACCGGAGCUAAUCCCGGAUAAUCUAUUGAACCGCAUGGUUCAAUAGUGAAAGACGGUUUUGCUGUCUCUUAUAGCUGGAUCCCGGCUGCUUUAGCUAGUUGUUAAGGUAACGGCUUACCAAGGCAAGGAUGCGUAGCCGACCUGAGAGGGUGAUCGGCCACACUGGAGCUGAGGCACGGACAAGACGCCUGCGGGACGCAGCAGUAGGGAAUCGUCCGCAAUAGUCGGAAGCCUGGCGGAGCAGCGCGGAGUGAGUGAUAAAGAUCUUCGGAGCGUGAAACUCUCUUAUGAGGUAAGAACAAAUGUGUAAGGUACUAUGGACGGAUUGACGGUACCUGGUCAGAAAGCCACGGCUAACUACGUG
rnacentral:rRNA from 1 species